rnacentral:rRNA from 1 species
GAUGAACGCUGGCGGCGUGCCUAAUACAUGCAAGUCGAGCGAACAGACGAGGAGCUUGCUCCUCUGACGUUAGCGGCGGACGGGUGAGUAACACGUGGAUAACCUACCUAUAAGACUGGGAUAACUUCGGGAAACCGGAGCUAGUACCGGAUAAUAUAUUGAACCGCAUGGUUCAAUAGUGAAAGACGGUUUUGCUGUCACUUAUAGAUGGAUCCGCGCCGCAUUAGCUAGUUGGUAAGGUAACGGCUUACCAAGGCAACGAUGCGUAGCCGACCUGAGAGGGUGAUCGGCCACACUGGAACUGAGACACGGUCCAGACUCCUACGGGAGGCAGCAGUAGGGAAUCUUCCGCAAUGGGCGAAAGCCUGACGGAGCAACGCCGCGUGAGUGAUGAAGGUCUUCGGAUCGUAAAACUCUGUUAUUAGGGAAGAACAAAUGUGUAAGUAACUAUGCACGUCUUGACGGUACCUAAUCAGAAAGCCACGGCUAACUACAUG